GACGAACGCUGGCGGCGUGCUUAACACAUGCAAGUCGAACGGAAAGGCCCUGCUUUUGUGGGGUGCUCGAGUGGCGAACGGGUGAGUAACACGUGAGUAACCUGCCCUUGACUUUGGGAUAACUUCAGGAAACUGGGGCUAAUACCGGAUAGGAGCUCCUGCUGCAUGGUGGGGGUUGGAAAGUUUCGGCGGUUGGGGAUGGACUCGCGGCUUAUCAGCUUGUUGGUGGGGUAGUGGCUUACCAAGGCUUUGACGGGUAGCCGGCCUGAGAGGGUGACCGGCCACAUUGGGACUGAGAUACGGCCCAGACUCCUACGGGAGGCAGCAGUGGGGAAUAUUGCACAAUGGGCGGAAGCCUGAUGCAGCAACGCCGCGUGCGGGAUGACGGCCUUCGGGUUGUAAACCGCUUCCGCCUGUGACGAAGCGUGAGUGACGGUAAUGGGUAAGGAAGCACCGGCUAACUACGUG
rnacentral:rRNA from 1 species